rnacentral:rRNA from 1 species
AGAUUGAACGCUGGCGGCAGGCCUAACACAUGCAAGUCGAGCGGUAGAGAGGUGCUUGCAUCUCUUGAGAGCGGCGGACGGGUGAGUAAUGCCUAGGAAUCUGCCUAGUGGUGGGGGAUAACGUUCGGAAACGGACGCUAAUACCGCAUACGUCCUACGGGGGAAAGCGGGGGACCUUCGGGCCUCGCGCCAUUAGAUGAGCCUAGGUCGGAUUAGCUAGUUGGUGAGGUAAUGGCUCACCAAGGCGACGAUCCGUAACUGGUCUGAGAGGAUGAUCAGUCACACUGGAACUGAGACACGGUCCAGACUCCUACGGGAGGCAGCAGUGGGGAAUAUUGGACAAUGGGCGAAAGCCUGAUCCAGCCAUGCCGCGUGUGUGAAGAAGGUCUUCGGAUUGUAAAGCACUUUAAGUGGAAGGAAGGUUGUAAACCUAAUACGUUGACAACGUUUGACGUUAACCGACAGAAUAAGCAACCGGCUAAACUCGUGCCAGCAAGCCG